AAUCUUAGACAAUGGGGGCAACCCUGAUCUAGCCAUGCCGCGUGAGUGAUGAAGGCCCUAGGGUCGUAAAGCUCUUUCGCCUGUGAAGAUAAUGACGGUAGCAGGUAAAGAAACCCCGGCUAACUCCGUGCCAGCAGCCGCGGUAAUACGGAGGGGGUUAGCGUUGUUCGGAAUUACUGGGCGUAAAGCGCGCGUAGGCGGGCUGUUAAGUCAGAGGUGAAAUCCCAGGGCUCAACCCUGGAACUGCCUUUGAUACUGGCAGCCUUGAGUUCGAGAGAGGUGAGUGGAAUUCCGAGUGUAGAGGUGAAAUUGCGUAGAUAUUCGGAGGAACACCAGUGGCGAAGGCGGCUCACUGGCUCGAUACUGACGCUGAGGUGCGAAAGUGUGGGGAGCAAACAGGAUUAGAUACCCUGGUAGUCCACACCGUAAA
rnacentral:rRNA from 1 species